AUGCCGAGGGAGAGAGCGAUAGAGAGAGGGCUACCGCGGGACCCUGGGGCCUCCAUCAACGUGAUGCCACUGCGGGCCCUAGCCGAUCUAGGAAUUCCUUACUACGAGCCGGCUAAGUCAGACCAAGGUUACUAUUCCGGGGUACAAUGCCGACUCGCAAAGAGCCAUCGGCAAGAUUCGUCUCUUGUGUGUGCGGAUCUGAAGACUGAGGUCACUUCUUACGUGAUUGACGGUGACACCUCCUAA